rnacentral:lncRNA from 1 species
UUUACUAGACUGAUGAAACAAAAGAGAGAGAGAGAGAAUAAUUAUGUUAAUAACAUCAGGAAUGGAGGGGACAUUGCUGCUGAAAUUAAAAGAUUUAAAGAAAUGUAGUAGUAACGACUUAUCUGUGGGAGAUAUGUUCCAAAAUCCCAAGUGGAUGCUUGAAACCACAGAUAAUAUUGAACUCUUCAUAUACUAUAUUUUUUCCUUAUUAUACAUACCUGUGAUAGAUUUAUCAAUUU